UGACCUCGGAUCAGGUAGGGAUACCCGCUGAACUUAAGCAUAUCAAUAAGCGGAGGAGAAGAAACCAACCGGGAUUGCCCCAGUAACGGCGAGUGAAGCGGCAACAGCUCAAAUUUGAAAUCCGGCCCCCCGGGGCCCGAGUUGUAAUUUGCAGAGGAUGCUUCGGGUGCGGCGCCGGUCUAAGUUCCUUGGAACGGGACGUCGCAGAGGGUGAGAAUCCCGUAUGUGACCGGCAGCCCGGCCCAGGUGAAGCUCCUUCGACGAGUCGAGUUGUUUGGGAAUGCAGCUCCAAAUGGGUGGUAAAUUCCAUCUAAAGCUAAACUGCGGCCCCCCCCCUCGGGCCGGGUAAAUCCAUAUUCAGGUAAAUCCAAGGCCGGGUAAAUCCAGGGCCGGGUUAGUUCAGACCCCCCCCCUCUGCCACCCCCCCCUUUUAGGGCCGGGUAAAUCUAAGGCCGGGUAAAUCCAGGGCCGGGUAAAUCCAGGGCAGGGUAAAUCCACGGCCGGGUAAAUCCAGGGCCAGGUAAAUCCAAGGCCGGGUAAAUCCAGGGCCGGGUAAAUCCAGGGCCGGGUAA
rnacentral:ncRNA from 1 species